UACGAAGGGGGCUAGCGUUGCUCGGAAUCACUGGGCGUAAAGAGCGUGUAGGCGGCCUGACAGGUCUGCUGUGAAAACUCGAGGCUCAACCUCGAGAUGUCGGCGGAAACCGUCUGGCUAGAGUCCGGAAGAGGAGAGUGGAAUUCCUGGUGUAGCGGUGAAAUGCGCAGAUAUCAGGAAGAACACCUAUGGCGAAGGCAGCUCUCUGGGACGGUACUGACGCUGAGACGCGAAAGCGUGGGGAGCGAACAGG
rnacentral:rRNA from 1 species